rnacentral:rRNA from 1 species
UACGUAGGGGGCUAGCGUUGUCCGGAAUCAUUGGGCGUAAAGAGCGUGUAGGCGGUCCGGUAAGUCCGCUGUGAAAGUCGGGGGCUCAACCCUCGAAUGCCGGUGGAUACUGUCGGGCUAGAGUGCGGAAGAGGCGAGUGGAAUUCCUGGGUGUAGCGGUGAAAUGCGCAGAUAUCAGGAGGAACACCUAUUGCGAAGGCAGCUCGCUGGGACGUAACUGACGCUGGAGACGCGAAAGCGUGGGGAGCAGACAGG